GUGCAGGUUGUUCAGCGAGGCCUGGCCUGUGGUGGCCUUGUCCUUUCCUAUAGCAUCUGCUAAAGAGACCUGGGGUGGUUUGAGGCCUUGGUGUGUCUUCAUCAUGACAAGGUUAUAGAAACCUCACACAAUC
ensembl:snoRNA